rnacentral:rRNA from 1 species
GAGCACUGUUUCGGCAAGGGGGUCAUCCCGACUUACCAACCCGAUGCAAACUGCGAAUACCGGAGAAUGUUAUCACGGGAGACACACGGCGGGUGCUAACGUCCGUCGUGAAGAGGGAAACAACCCAGACCGCCAGCUAAGGUCCCAAAGUCAUGGUUAAGUGGGAAACGAUGUGGGAAGGCCCAGACAGCCAGGAUGUUGGCUUAGAAGCAGCCAUCAUUUAAAGAAAGCGUAAUAGCUCACUGGUCGAGUCGGCCUGCGCGGAAGAUGUAACGGGGCUAAACCAUGCACCGAAGCUGCGGCAGCGACGCUGAUGCGUUGUUGGGUAGGGGAGCGUUCUGUAAGCCUGCGAAGGUGUGCUGUGAGGCAUGCUGGAGGUAUCAGAAGUGCGAAUGCUGACAUAAGUAACGAUAAAGCGGGUGAAAAGCCCGCUCGCCGGAAGACCAAGGGUUCCUGUCCAACGUUAAUCGGGGCAGGGUGAGUCGACCCCUAAGGCGAGGCCGAAAGGCGUAGUCGAUGGGAAACAGGUUAAUAUUCCUGUACUUGGUGUUACUGCGAAGGGGGGACGGAGAAGGCUAUGUUGGCCGGGCGACGGUUGUCCCGGUUUAAGCGUGUAGGCUGGUUUUCCAGGCAAAUCCGGAAAAUCAAGGCUGAGGCGUGAUGACGAGGCACUACGGUGCUGAAGCAACAAAUGCCCUGCUUCCAGGAAAAGCCUCUAAGCAUCAGGUAACAUCAAAUCGUACCCCAAACCGACACAGGUGGUCAGGUAGAGAAUACCAAGGCGCUUGAGAGAACUCGGGUGAAGGAACUAGGCAAAAUGGUGCCGUAACUUCGGGAGAAGGCACGCUGAUAUGUAGGUGAGGUCCCUCGCGGAUGGAGCUGAAAUCAGUCGAAGAUACCAGCUGGCUGCAACUGUUUAUUAAAAACACAGCACUGUGCAAACACGAAAGUGGACGUAUACGGUGUGACGCCUGCCCGGUGCCGGAAGGUUAAUUGAUGGGGUUAGCGCAAGCGAAGCUCUUGAUCGAAGCCCCGGUAAACGGCGGCCGUAACUAUAACGGUCCUAAGGUAGCGAAAUUCCUUGUCGGGUAAGUUCCGACCUGCACGAAUGGCGUAAUGAUGGCCAGGCUGUCUCCACCCGAGACUCAGUGAAAUUGAACUCGCUGUGAAGAUGCAGUGUACCCGCGGCAAGACGGAAAGACCCCGUGAACCUUUACUAUAGCUUGACACUGAACAUUGAGCCUUGAUGUGUAGGAUAGGUGGGAGGCUUAGAAGUGUGGACGCCAGUCUGCAUGGAGCCGACCUUGAAAUACCACCCUUUAAUGUUUGAUGUUCUAACGUUGACCCGUAAUCCGGGUUGCGGACAGUGUCUGGUGGGUAGUUUGACUGGGGCGGUCUCCUCCUAAAGAGUAACGGAGGAGCACGAAGGUUGGCUAAUCCUGGUCGGACAUCAGGAGGUUAGUGCAAUGGCAUAAGCCAGCUUGACUGCGAGCGUGACGGCGCGAGCAGGUGCGAAAGCAGGUCAUAGUGAUCCGGUGGUUCUGAAUGGAAGGGCCAUCGCUCAACGGAUAAAAGGUACUCCGGGGAUAACAGGCUGAUACCGCCCAAGAGUUCAUAUCGACGGCGGUGUUUGGCACCUCGAUGUCGGCUCAUCACAUCCUGGGGCUGAAGUAGGUCCCAAGGGUAUGGCUGUUCGCCAUUUAAAGUGGUACGCGAGCUGGGUUUAGAACGUCGUGAGACAGUUCGGUCCCUAUCUGCCGUGGGCGCUGGAGAACUGAGGGGGGCUGCUCCUAGUACGAGAGGACCGGAGUGGACGCAUCACUGGUGUUCGGGUUGUCAUGCCAAUGGCACUGCCCGGUAGCUAAAUGCGGAAGAGAUAAGUGCUGAAAGCAUCUAAGCACGAAACUUGCCCCGAGAUGAGUUCUCCCUGACUCCUUGAGAGUCCUGAAGGAACGUUGAAGACGACGACGUUGAUAGGCCGGGUGUGUAAGCGCAGCGAUGCGUUGAGCUAACCGGUACUAAUGAACCGUGAG